AUUGAACGCUGGCGGCAUGCUUUACACAUGCAAGUCGAACGGCAGCACAGGGAGCUUGCUCCCGGGUGGCGAGUGGCGCACGGGUGAGUAAUACAUCGGAACGUGUCCUGUUGUGGGGGAUAACUGCUCGAAAGGGUGGCUAAUACCGCAUGAGACCUGAGGGUGAAAGCGGGGGAUCGCAAGACCUCGCGCAAUUGGAGCGGCCGAUGCCCGAUUAGCUAGUUGGUGAGGUAAAGGCUCACCAAGGCGACGAUCGGUAGCUGGUCUGAGAGGACGACCAGCCACACUGGGACUGAGACACGGCCCAGACUCCUACGGGAGGCAGCAGUGGGGAAUUUUGGACAAUGGGGGCAACCCUGAUCCAGCCAUGCCGCGUGCAGGAUGAAGGCC
rnacentral:rRNA from 1 species